CGUAGACAAUAUAUAUCUCGCUGAAGCCGGAAUAGGUCGGGUUUCAGAGGGACUGGGCGUUCGUCUAGGGUCCCUUGGGACUUGCAGGUAUUGUUAGGCUGUAGCUGGAACAGAUCGGGAUGCUAUUGCCAGCAUCAACAGAACAUGAUCAGCCCCCGAGAUCGUAUGCCUGUGGGUGGCCAGUCGUGAUCGGCCGUCUUCAUUUCAUCCGAGUUAUAAAUCCCGCCGGUGGACAGUGGGGUGCGUCGAAUGCCAAGAGGCCAUGGGGCUAGUGAUAUGUACCCCCAAGUCAGAAUGAUAAUUGGAUGGCUGUUCGACAGGAGGUCGAGCUAAUAGGUCUAGUCCGUGCGCCCUGGCUUCCUAUCAAAGAGAUGCAGAACAUUGCGAUACACCUCCAAGCCUGCGAGUGUACGACCGGUCGUACUGAUAAGUUUAUGUUCAGAAUCAUUAUCUACGAAAGAAUGUUCCUUUUAUUACCCCCAGAAUGCAGCAUACG